rnacentral:rRNA from 1 species
ACUGCUCAGUAACACGUGGAUAACCUGCCCUUGGGUCCGGCAUAACCCCGGGAAACUGGGGAUAAUUCCGGAUAACGCACAUAUGCUGGAAUGCUUUAUGCGUAAAAUGGAUUCGUCUGCCCAAGGAUGGGUUUGCGGCCUAUCAGGUAGUAGUGGGUGUAAUGUACCUACUAGCCAACAACGGGUACGGGUUGUGAGAGCAAGAGCCCGGAGAUGGAUUCUGAGACAUGAAUCCAGGCCCUACGGGGCGCAGCAGGCGCGAAAACUUUACAAUGCGGGAAACCGUGAUAAGGGGACACCGAGUGCCAGCAUCAUAUGCUGGCUGUCCAGGUGUGUAAAAUACACCUGUUAGCAAGGGCCGGGCAAGACCGGUGCCAGCCGCCGCGGUAACACCGGCGGCCCGAGUGGUGAUCGUGAUUAUUGGGUCUAAAGGGUCCGUAGCCGGUUUGGUCAGUCCUCCGGGAAAUCUGAUAGCUCAACUAUUAGGCUUUCGGGGGAUACUGCCAGGCUUGGAACCGGGAGAGGUAAGAGGUACUACAGGGGUAGGAGUGAAAUCUUGUAAUCCCUGUGGGACCACCUGUGGCGAAGGCGUCUUACCAGAACGGGUUCGACGGUGAGGGACGAAAGCUGGGGGCACGAACCGGAUUAGAUACCCGGGUAGUCCCAGCCGUAAACGAUGCUCGCUAGGUGUCAGGCAUGGCGCGACCGUGUCUGGUGCCGCAGGGAAGCCGUGAAGCGAGCCACCUGGGAAGUACGGCCGCAAGGCUGAAACUUAAAGGAAUUGGCGGGGGAGCAC